rnacentral:sRNA from 1 species
CGUAGCUCUUGCAAACGGGCUAUUAAUAAAAAUUUAGUACAAGCUUUUUCCCAGUUUCCUUUCGAUACCUUCGUCUAGCUCCUGCGAUAGCUUCUCUUCAUGGUUUUAAAAAAUAGCAUUUGCUCGCAGUUUUCAAUUUUAUUUAUAUCUCAGAGGUAUCUAUGUCUACUAAAACAACUGGUUCAGUAAAGUGGUUCAACGAAACUAAAGGCUUCGGCUUCAUUACACAAGAUAAUGGCGGACCUGACGUGUUUGUUCAUUUCAGAGCUAUUGCAUCUGAAGGUUUCAGAACGCUUAUUGAAGGCCAAAAAGUCAGCUUCAAUGUUGAACAAGGCCAGAAAGGCCCACAAGCAACAAAUGUAUCAUCGAUUUAAAAAUUUCAGGUGUAAUGUGAAAGCAUUACACCUAUCA